ACGGGUGAGUAAUACAUCGGAACGUGCCCUGUAGUGGGGGAUAACUAGUCGAAAGAUUAGCUAAUACCGCACACGACCUGAGGGUGAAAGUGGGGGACCGCAAGGCCUCAUGCUAUAGGAGCGGCCGAUGUCUGAUUAGCUAGUUGGUGAGGUAAAGGCUCACCAAGGCGACGAUCGGUAGCUGGUCUGAGAGGACGAUCAGCCACACUGGGACUGAGACACGGCCCAGACUCCUACGGGAGGCAGCAGUGGGGAAUUUUGGACAAUGGGGGCAACCCUGAUCCAGCAAUGCCGCGUGUGUGAAGAAGGCCUUCGGGUUGUAAAGCACUUUUGUCCGGAAAGAAAUCGCACUUACUAAUAUUAGGUGUGGAUGACGGUACCGGAAGAAUAAGGACCGGCUAACUACGUGCCAGCAGCCGCGGUAAUACGUAGGGUCCAAGCGUUAAUCGGAAUUACUGGGCGUAAAGCGUGCGCAGGCGGUUGUGCAAGACCGAUGUGAAAUCCCCGGGCUUAACCUGGGAAUUGCAUUGGUGACUGCACGGCUAGAGUGUGUCAGAGGGGGGUAGAAUUCCAC
rnacentral:rRNA from 1 species